AGCAGCCGCGGUAAUUCCAGCUCCAAUAGCGUAUAUUAAAGUUGUUGCAGUUAAAAAGCUCGUAGUUGAACUUCAGGCCUGUCCAGACGGUCCGCCUUAAUUGGUGUGUACUGUCCUUGGGUGGGUCCUACCUUCUGGCGAAGCGGCAUGGCCUUAAUUGGUUGUGUCGGGGAACCAGGACUUUUACUGUGAAAAAAUUAGAGUGUUCAAAGCAGGCAAAUAUGCUCGAAUACAUUAGCAUGGAAUAAUGGAAUAGGACGAUGGUUCUAUUUUGUUGGUUCUAGGACCGUUGUAAUGAUUAAUAGGGAUAGUUGGGGGCAUUAGUAUUCAAUUGUCAGAGGUGAAAUUCUUGGAUUUAUUGAAGACUAACUACUGCGAAAGCAUUUGCCAAGGAUGUUUUCAUUAAUCAAGAACGAAAGUUAGGGGAUCGAAGACGAUCAGAUACCGUCGUAGUCUUAACCAUAAACUAUGCCGAC
rnacentral:rRNA from 1 species